UUACCAGUCAAGCGUUCCUAGAGGAAGGUCAAACACCAGUUAAACUCCACCAUUUUGCCUCUUAGUGCGCAUGCUUGAGCCCGCUUACCCAGCUCCUGAGAUUUUAUCGGGAAGCUACUGAUCAGCAGCUUCAGGUGUUUUCUGUCUACUGGGAGACUGCCUUUCCCCGGCGUUGGCUGGGACCAAUUAUCAUUUUAGAGACAGUUUAACAACUGCCUAACCAUCACCUGAUGGUCACCUGACAUUGUUGGGCUGGGAGUUCGCGGGGCUCUCCUGCUCUGCUCACCAUUGCCUAACUAUCUACUGUAACAAUACCACCUAGCAAAGCUGUGGCCGUGUCUUGCAGGAAGAAGCACAUGUUCUUCCUCCAGAGUCCAGUAUGAUGUCUAAAGCAGAUCUGUUCUGAACCCACCACUUGUCCAAUUUCAUCAUCUUCUUGGAUGAGGAGUUCUGUGGCUUAGAGGAGAAAAAGAAACCUUUUUCUCUACUCUCAGAUGAGAAAACUGAAACAGAAAGGUCACCUCAGCUGUUGCAAAGUAAUAAAUGGCAAGACUGGAAUUCAGAGAAGGGCUGUGUAGCCCCAAGUUCCACUCGUAACCAUUACUGCACAGCCCUACCCUCAGAGGACUUGCAUUCCUGUUCUUGGAUGUGCAGAAUGCAUCACCUGUAACAUCUGCAUGCACCCCGAGACAUCUGCAUCACCCCCAAAGUUAAGUCUGUCCCAUCCCCACCUUGCCCCAGCCUGCUCCUCUGUCUUACAUUUCAGUCCUCUGAGAGUUGAAGAGCUGGCCCAAGCCCCAAUCUGAGCCACUCUGCUUGAUCCAAGCCAACUUCCCACCAAGAGCUCAGACUGCUGCUCCCCCAGAACGCAAGUCCUUCUUACCCAAUAUUAAGGCAGUACAGGGCAGUUAAGAAGAGCUUACAGUUAGACUCACUGCUCUGAGGCUCAGUUUCCUUAUUUAUAAAGUCAAUGUAAUAUUCUCUCCCUUUAAGGUUGAAUGAAAUAAUCUACAUAAAGUGCUCAGUAUGGGGCUUGUCUCCUGGGGGCUCCCAUCUGCCAUGAAUAUCUCAACAUUGUGGUUGGCCAAAAAUAUUAGACCACCCUCCCUUCAUAGCAUUAAGGAUGCUUAACUCAACUUGUACACUCCUUGGAUGCUUUGCACUGCCAUGUCCAGUGUCUACCUCUGAAACCAAGCCAGUUUCCCCAGCCCACAUCAUAUUGGCUGAGGGGUCAAAGCCCUUGUUUCUCUCUGGCUGGCUGAGAGCCCAGCAUGCCUGCUCCUGUUUCCCCACUUUAGAGUAGUGCUAUUAGGUAGAAUUUCCUAGGAUGAUGUAACUGUGCUGUCCAAAGUGGAAGACACUAGCUACAAGUGGCUACUGGGCACUUGAAAUGUAGUUAGUACAAUUAAGGACUAAAAAUUUUAAUUAUUUUUUAUUUAAAUCACCACAUGUGGCUGUGGCUAGUGACUGUCAUAUUGGACAGAACAGGUAUGCAGUAUGGUCAACCAGGUGUGUUCCCUGUCUCUCUGAGUCCUUAUAUCACCCUAUACGGGGUUGCUUAGCCACUCACAGUAAAGUCCUGCCCCACAGGUAACUCACCACAUACCCGUUGGCUCCUAUAGAUGAGCCUGUGAUGGCAUCUAGUGCAUUCGCCUCGGUAUUGAGAAAUACACCUCCCAGGUAACAACCCCUGUAGGGGUCACUGGAAGGUAAAGAGGAAACAGACGAGCAAUCCAGCAGUGGGACUGCAGCAGUCAGAGCUGAGAAGGGGUGUAUAUAAUUACAUAUCCCAGAGCCAGAGAGGAUUAGAAGUGCUACAGAAGUGAAUGUCAGGCAAUAUGAUAUUCCACAGGUGUGAAAGUAGCGUUUCUACAGAGUUGGCCAACACUCUCUAAAUCAAAAAUAUCUGCUGCCGAAUGGGGGGAGAAAGAAAGUGAAGUGAAUCAUAAACUAGAGUCAAAUGGGAUAGGAGAGACAGUACAGAGUAGUCAGCCCAGCAGAUCAUACAAACCUGACUGCCCACACCUUGCUCCAAAGGUUGAGUCCUUUA
rnacentral:lncRNA from 1 species